rnacentral:rRNA from 1 species
GGUUGUGUCGCCAGACGCAUUGCCCGGUAGCUAAGUUCGGAAUUGAUAAGCGCUGAAAGCAUCUAAGCGCGAAGCGAGCCCUGAGAUGAGUCUUCCCUGACAGUUUAACUGUCCUAAAGGGUUGUUCGAGACUAGAACGUUGAUAGGCAGGGUGUGUAAGCGUUGUGAGGCGUUGAGCUAACCUGUACUAAUUGCCCGUGAGGCUUAACCA